rnacentral:lncRNA from 1 species
GGAGCUUUGGAGAGUUCUGAUGUGUGAUGCCAUAUGUUACUCACGUGUUUUCGCCAUAUAACUUAAUUUUUAUUUUUCUUUAUCGGAAUCUUGGGCUUGUUUAGAUUCCUUUCCCAUAUAAGUUUGGGGUUUCGGCAAAUUUGCCUUUAGAUCCAUAAACCUUCAGUAAGGGAGCUUGUCUCAACAUGAAUGGACUGACAGCUACUAGAUAAUUUGCAGGUCUUGGAAUUUAUGGUGAAAGGAAAUUUUUGUGCGGUAAAUGUUUGCAUGAGGAUUUUUACCUUUUUGUAUAACAGGGUUUGUCCAAUGGCUAUUUAUUGGAGAAAAAGGGUAAUUUUGGUUAUCAUGACAUGCUAUUGUAAUUUGGUUAGGGUUUCCUUAGCUUUUCAAUCAUUA